rnacentral:rRNA from 1 species
GACGAACGCUGGCGGCGUGCCUAAUACAUGCAAGUAGAACGCUGAAGGAGGAGCUUGCUUCUCUGGAUGAGUUGCGAACGGGUGAGUAACGCGUAGGUAACCUGCCUGGUAGCGGGGGAUAACUAUUGGAAACGAUAGCUAAUACCGCAUAACAGUAGAUAUCGCAUGAUAUCUACUUGAAAGGUGCAAUUGCAUCACUACCAGAUGGACCUGCGUUGUAUUAGCUAGUUGGUGAGGUAACGGCUCACCAAGGCGACGAUACAUAGCCGACCUGAGAGGGUGAUCGGCCAAACUGGGACUGAGACACGGCCCAGACUCCUACGGGAGGCAGCAGUAGGGAAUCUUCGGCAAUGGACGGAAGUCUGACCGAGCAACGCCGCGUGAGUGAAGAAGGUUUUCGGAUCGUAAAGCUCUGUUGUAAGAGAAGAACGAGUGUGAGAGUGGAAAGUUCACACUGUGACGGUAUCUUACCAGAAAGGGACGGCUAACUACGUG